rnacentral:rRNA from 1 species
AGCUCCAAUAGGAUAUAUCAAAGUUGUUGCAGUUAAAAAGCUCGUAGUUGAAUUUCUGGUGGUUAUUUGUUUUUUGUGAGCCAAUGGUUUACGAUUGAAUGGAGACUGCCUUUUUGUGGAUCACGUUUUGUUUGUGUGUUUACUCAUACAAAUAAGGCGCCACUCAGUCACUGAGAGCAAAUUGGAGUGCUCAAAGCAGGCUUUACAGCUUUGAACAUUUUAGCUUGGAAUGACAAGAUAAGACUAGGGUGUUAUUUUGUUGGUUAUGAAAUCUUAGUAAUGAUUAACAGGAACAGUAGCGGGGGUACUCGUAUUGAAGGGUCAGAGGUGAAAUUCUUGGAUUCCUUCAAGACGAACGACUGCGAAAGCAUUUACCAAGGAUGUUUUCA